rnacentral:rRNA from 1 species
UACGUAGGGCGCAAGCGUUGUCCGGAUUCACUGGGUGUAAAGGGUGCGCAGGCGGACUGGCAAGUCAGGGGUGAAAUCUCACAGCUCAACUGUGAAACUGCCUUUGAUACUGCUGGUCUUGAGUCAGGGAGAGGUUGAUGGAAUUCCAGGUGUAGCGGUGAAAUGCGUAGAUAUCAGGAAGAACACCCGUGGCGAAGGCGGCUCUCUGGGACGGUACUGACGCUGAGACGCGAAAGCGUGGGGAGCGAACAGG